rnacentral:tRNA from 1 species
GUGAGCGUAGCCCAGCGGUCAAGGCGCCAGGCUGUGGCCCUGGAGAUCGAGGGUUCGAAUCCCUCCGCUCACCCCA